rnacentral:lncRNA from 1 species
AUAACCUUUUAUUAUGUUGAUUGUGAAGUCAAAAUAUGAAAUAAGCAAAAGCAAAAGUGAUUGAACAUUGGGAACCACAACAAAUAAAGAAGAGUAGAAUUAGCAGGGAAAUUCCCAGUUAAAUAGAACUUUUAAUUAUUAGAGGUAUUUAAUGUGCAUCAACUGCUAUGAUGUAAUUGAUACAUUUUAAAAUAGCUCACGGAUAAUUAGCUGUACACACAAAUAUCAUAAACUCAAACAAUAGUUAAAUGGUAUAACAGUUAACAAAGCAUAAACUUUGUUGCUUGACCAGCAAGUUUCUCUCAGAACAAGUUGACCAAGUUAUCCACAAUCAACAUCAAUAUCAAAAUCACCAACAAAUCCCAUCUCCUCAAGUUGCUACGUAUCCACACAGAAACAAAGUAAAAUCUCAAAUCUCAUGACAACAUAAUGUUUUCGGUAGUUCAUUCACAUACUUUCUAUAUAUCCAUCAGUAGCUUAUGUUAACCAGCUCGACAUACACAAAAAUGAAAUCUGAAAUAACAAAAUGCUCAAAACCCUAGCAUGACACAAAUAUUUACAUUGCUAUCUCAAGAAAUAAUAAGUUAACAAUUUCAGCUUAACAGAUAUGAUAACUAAAAGGCCAUCUUAACAAAAUUUUCAGAGCAUAAUUCAGUUUAGAACAUUCUUCACAAAUUGCAAAUCCUGUGCAGCAGACUUUCUGCAUCUACUCUCAUUUACAAAUCUCUUAUUGGUAAAACAUACAAUAUAACUUCAAGGAUCAAGAAAUUCAGCCACAGUCCAUGACAACAUAAACAGCCUGUAUAGCAAUUCUGUUAAUUGCUAGAUCAAAGAUUUCCUGAUGACAGUUAAAAUUAAUGAUAAAGACAGCUGUAAUAAUGUGACUGUGGACUUUAUCUUUCAAAACAAAGAAAAUCAAGGACUUGAAUACUAAUCAUGAUACAAAACAAAUUUAUCAAAAAUAUUUCUUUCAACAUAACUUAACAAUUGCUUCUACUUAAAUAUAAAGGCAGUAAAUGGAUUGUCCAAACAGUUAAGCUCUACUGGAUGAGCAACAACUCCCACAAUCAUGUUUAAAUUGCUUUACCUGAAAUGUUAAUGUGUAAGACUCACAGUGAGGACUUUAAACAAAGUAUUGAUUUGAGUAAUUUCCAAUGUUUCUUAUAUGCCUUUAUCAGAUAUCAACUGCCUGAUAUAAGGCUAUGAUUGACUUGGCCACUUGACCUGUUUUUACAUGGUGCUUCCUUUCAGGUCAAGAGUUGAUGACUUUGUGGUAGAAUCCUUAUUUCCAAAAGUACCAAAUUGAUCACAUGCGAAGGGAGAACUAGCAGAACAAAAAUGUAUCUUGUUAUUCCAUACCUCAAAAGUUCGUGAAGCAUAACCUUUUAUUAUGUUGAUUGUGAAGUCAAAAUAUGAAAUAAGCAAAAGCAAAAGUGAUUGAACAUUGGGAACCACAACAAAUAAAGAAGAGUAGAAUUAGCAGGGAAAUUCCCAGUUAAAUAGAACUUUUAAUUAUUAGAGGUAUUUAAUGUGCAUCAACUGCUAUGAUGUAAUUGAUACAUUUUAAAAUAGCUCACGGAUAAUUAGCUGUACACACAAAUAUCAUAAACUCAAACAAUAGUUAAAUGGUAUAACAGUUAACAAAGCAUAAACUUUGUUGCUUGACCAGCAAGUUUCUCUCAGAACAAGUUGACCAAGUUAUCCACCGCUUUAACCAUUAUAUCACUGGAUAAUGCUGCUCCUUAGGACCAUAAAAGUCGACCCUGUUUAGCCCUGAAACUCCCAAAAUCUGAACCACCAUGCAGCAGUAUCCAAGGCCAUCAACUCCUCAAAAGAGAGCAGAUCAGCAUGCUGCUAUGAUAUCAGAAACAAGCAGUUGAACUUGUACUACAACCUGUUUCCAAGCUUCAGAGAUCCCUCCAAAAUUCUCAAAAAUUAAAACUGAGGGCAAAAUGCAGUUUACUCCCUACACAAACUAUUAAGGCUACCAAUACAAAUUAAUGGAUCAGUAACAAUUGAAAGUCUCACAUUUGCAUGACAGACUGCAAUUAAAUAUUCAUACUUGACUGUAUGUCCCUAGGAUUACUAUUAUCUAAAUUACCUUCCUGCAAGGAUGAAUUUCAAAUCCACCAGAGCAUUGUACAUUCAGAGUUCAAUAAAGAAAAAAAAUACAUACAAUUAAGCUGCAAGUAGACACAGCAUAUUAUCAACGCGAAGAAAACAGGACUCUUAUGCAACUAUUUAUAUACAUAUUAUGAUUAUUGAAGUAGGAAAUUUGGCAUACAUAUCAGUGAGUACACCUCAUUGUCAUAAAGCAAAGGCACCCUAGAGUAACCUUGUAAAACCACUACUCUGCACUGGUUCAUACAAAUUACUGAACUUCCUAAAACUACUAAAAAUAAUAAUAAUAAAGACAACUUAUUUUGUACUUGUAAUUCACCAUAAGUACACAACUAUAUAUAUAUGCAUGUACACCCCUGCCUUUAAAAAACGUUUUUCUCUUUCUCUUUUUAAUUUUUUCCCCCUUUUCGUAUGAGAAACAGGAAACAAUUUCAUUAAUGAAGAGGAAAAAUGACAAAGGAGAUGAAUCACUAGAACAUCCAAAAUAUGGGUGCGUGCCCAUUUGUGUGCACAACAUAUAGAAGUGCAAUAAAAUGAUAUAACUAGAGGCACUAUUCAAUUUAUUAGUCCUAGCAACUUCAAUAUUGAUACCCAAUACACGGCCAAAUUCACCCAGCAGAAAAGAUACAAGGGAACAAAAUUCAGAUGCUGGCACCCGUUUCAAGUAUAAUGAAGGUAUCUUCUUUUUGAACGAAAAAUUUAUUUUCCAACUGCAUUCAUGUAUAACCAAUGAAUUAACAGGUGCGACUUUAAAUUUUUUAUAAAUUGAUUAACUUACUAGUAUCAACCAGAAUCCAAAUAGGAAAGUCCAAAAAAUAACUUUUCUUUCAUCUCUAGACUUUACAAAGCAAAGAUAUAGCUGCCACAACCCUAGUGCACAGGUAGUAUACUAGAGCCACACUUAGGGCAUCCCUUAAAUUGAUCGGUUUAUUAAGAGAGAAGGUGACAAUAUGACCACUAAUAAGACAAAUCUACAACUCUUAAUAAUAUAACCCUCUAUAUGAGACCGGCAACCAAAAACCGGAAGGCCACAAGAGCUAUGGCUACAGUUUCAGCAAAGCUUGAUAUAAUCCACUAAUAUUUCCACCAUUCCUUAAGAAUCAAUGCCUAUGGUGGAAUAACAGCAGGCAAUAGAGGGUUGCUCUUAAUUAAACAGAGAGCAGAAUCUUGAUGAAAUCUUACUGAUCUAACCCACAAGCAGCAAAAUAUAAAUUCAAACCACAACAAAUACAGUCUAAAAUUUUUUGAGUGAGCGAGCAAGAGAGAGAACUCCUAUCAGCAACAGACAUGAACCCAAGUCAUCUGCAUAAGCAAGAUACUUCAAUCAAAGAAUAUAACCCACCACUAAGUAACAAAAUCUGUUCUCAACUAAAAGUUUAUGAAUCACAAACACAGAGACAGGCAGGAUGAAACCACAGAAUGCAAGCUCACAAUUAACUUAUUCAUUUAUUUAUAUUUUUUAAUUAACUGUUUGAACUGUAAGUACUUGCAUCAUAUUUAUAGAUGAGGUUUGGCAUACCAAAGUUUAUACAUACACAUAUGUACAUAUUAUGUAUGUAUGUAUAUUAAUGAUCUUCUUAAGUAUACUAUCCUCAUGGUUGAUAUUUUUCUAUAUCAUCUAUCCGAGAUGACAU